rnacentral:tRNA from 1 species
AUCCAAAUAGCUUAUUAAGAGCGUAGCCCUGAAGUUGCUAAGGAAAUUUAUAAUUUUUGGAUA